UCCUCUCUAAUGGAGGAACGUUCAUUAGCAAUUUCGCACCGUUUAAUCUCGAAAGAUAAGUAGCUUUGUAAGUGUUUUAUAUGGUAUGGAUCACCCUAAUGGUGGCGACCAUAUUUGACUUGCAAAAUAUGAAACAACGGUAGAAGCUCAUAAGAUAGAAUAGCCUUGACUCUCGCCUAAACGGGACAAUGCUGGAUUCCAAUCUUGAUCGAAUAAAAGGUUGCUAGAAUGUUUAAUAUUUUAGAUGAGCUGACAACUCUAUUCAAUAGAUGGUAGCUUUGACUCUCGCCUAAACGGGACACUGAUAUCAGUUUGUUGAAAACCUUGGAAAUUAUUUAGGAUUAUAUUUUUUUAGUAUUUUCUCUUAUCAUUCCUACAUGCUAUGUGCUUAUAAUUUCUGAAUUGAUUUUGUGUUAAACCAUUAUUGAUUUCUAUUUGUUAUUUUGUAGUAUCCUGUAUAACCAUGAUGAAUUCCAUGUUAUCACUCUUGACCGAAAAUAAGCUAAAUGGAUCUAACUUUCCAAAAUGGAAUGAGAACAUUAAUAUUGCUCUCAUAGGAGAAAGUGCCUUGUUUGUGUUAACUGAGCCGUCUCCAGAAGUGCCGGGGAAUAAUGCAUCCAAAGCUGUGAAAGAAAAGUAUGAGCGUUGGCAGAAAGCAAAUGACAAAGCUCUAUACUUUAUGCUUUCCAGCAUGGUUGACACCCUUAAAACUCAGUUUUCUAAAACCGAAAAAGGUUGCUGAAGUAAUGACGAAGUUAACUGAGCUAUUCGGUAAGGCAUCUCUUCAGUCUCGCUUUGGCGCGACUAAGAAAUACAUCAAUGCACGGAUGGAACCCCAUCAAAACGUGGGUGAUCAUGUUCUCCUCAUGGCAAGUUAUUUCCAGGAAGCCCAGGAUCAUGGUGCUGAAAUGGAUCAUACUACUCAAGUAGGCUUUAUCUUGAAUAGUCUGACUCCAGCAUUUCUGCCCUAUACAUCAAAUUAUGUCAUGAAUAAAAAGGACAUAGACUUUCAUGAGUUAGUCAAUGACCUUCAGACAUGAAAAUUUGAUUGGAGGACCCAAGAAGAAAGGGAGUAAGCCUCAAAAUUCUGGGAAUGGUAAUGGGACAGUCAAACCUGAAGAAAAUGUUGCCUCUGCUUCUAAACCCAAAUCGAAGAAGAAGUGGAAAAACACCAAGAAGCGUGCAAAAGCCAUGAAAAACAAAUAGGCUGCUGCUUCUGGUGAUGCACCCAAAGGAAAGUGUUUCUACUGCAAUGAGAAAGGUCAUUGGAAACCCCAAUGUCCUAAACUUCUUGCAAAGAAACAAGGCCAAGCUACUUGAACUCAGAUGUUAUCUUCAUGAGUUGGAUCAGAAAGCUAGACAAAGGGUGAAGAUCGUCCAAGAUGAAGAUGAAGCUCAUUUAUCUAUUUUUUGAAUUAAUUGUUUUAGUUUAAAGACAAUUUGGAUUUCGAAUUUUAGUUUGGGAUUUUUAUCCCUGUUUUUCUCAUAUUGUUGCAAUACAUUUUUUUAUUAAUAAAGUUUAUAUUAUUUUCAA